rnacentral:tRNA from 1 species
GCUCAGUUGCUCAGUUGGUGGAGCAUGUGACUCUUGAUCUCAGGUUGUGAGUUCAAACCACAUACUGGGUG